CAUGAUCUGAAAAUCCAGUUUUGUGAUGAUAAUAUUUGUGACAACAUUAUUGGGAGAGAUAAUUUUUCAGCCAAAAGAUGCUUAAUGUUAUGGUUGAUGUUGACAAGGCUGAGCAUUGUCUCAGUUGCAUACUUCUACUACAGUCAUUUUGAUAUCAAUUCAAUCCACACUCCACAGUUGUCUGCCUGAGAUUAUUUUUAAGGUAUAGAUGCUGCCACACUUCAAUAAGCAGUUCAGAAGCAUAUUGAGUGGGAUAAUUCGUCAAUAUCUUUAGCUUUCUGACAACAGUUUGUGGAUCAAGAAUUUUCAACCAAGGUUCUUUGCAAGAUGAUUACGGACCAUCUGUGGUAUAACUAAUCUGCCAUUUUGAAGUAAAGAAGUAUGAGGGACUGAAUUUCAAGUUUUGUGGUGGCGGAGCCAGAAAAAUUGAAAAGCUAAUGUCAAAAAUUAGCCAACCAUAGAGGAAGCUAGUGCCACAAUUAGCAGUAAUGGAGGAAGCAAACCAUUUACAGUUACUGAAGAUCAAAAAAAACUUUUGAUUUUGAAAAUCAGCCACUGCCAAGGCACUUGCUGGUUCCAACGUGGCUACGCCAUUAUUCUAGAUUCCAAUUCUCAUAAAUUUCUAAAGUAAGGGUGAAUACUGAAAUCAGGCAUUUUAUUUUUGGCCCUUUGUAUUGUAUGCUGACCAUCAUAUAUUCAUAUGCUAAAAUGUUAAGAUAAU